UAUGUCAGCGGCAGACGGGUGAGUAACGCGUGGGAACGUACCUUUUGGUUCGGAACAACUGAGGGAAACUUCAGCUAAUACCGGAUAAGCCCUUACGGGGAAAGAUUUAUCGCCGAAAGAUCGGCCCGCGUCUGAUUAGCUAGUUGGUGAGGUAAUGGCUCACCAAGGCGACGAUCAGUAGCU
rnacentral:rRNA from 1 species